rnacentral:tRNA from 1 species
AAUAACUUGGCAGAUUAAUGCAAUGAAUUUAGAAUUCAUUUAUGUAAAUUUUUUUACAGUUAUUA